rnacentral:rRNA from 1 species
AGCAGCCGCGGUAAUUCCAGCUCCAAUAGCGUAUAUUAAAGUUGUUGCAGUUAAAAAGCUCGUAGUUGAAUUUCGGGAUCAGAUUGUCGGUCGUGCCUCGGUACGCACUGGCAUUAUUGGUUCCUACCUUCUGAAGAACCGCGAUGUCAUUAAUUUGGUGUCGUGGGGAAUCAGGACUGUUACUUUGAAAAAUUAGAGUGUUUAAAGCAGGCGCACGCUUGAAUACAUUAGCAUGGAAUAAUGAAAUAGGACGUUUGAUUCUAUUUUGUUGGUUUCUAGGAUCGACGUAAUGAUUAAUAGGGAUAGUUGGGGGCAUUAGUAUUCAAUUGUCAGAGGUGAAAUUCUUGGAUUUAUUGAAGACUAACUACUGCGAAAGCAUUUGCCAAGGAUGUUUUCAUUAAUCAAGAACGAAAGUUAGGGGAUCGAAGACGAUCAGAUACCGUCGUAGUCUUAACCAUAAACUAUGCCGACU